UCCUAUCCAGGCCGCCACAGAUCUUCUUGAUGACCAACAUCUAUUUCCUUUCUGGCAUUGUUUUACUUUAUUUGCUUUUGCUACUCCUAGACAUUAUUAGUUAGAGUCCUUGUAUAAUGACUUUCAGAUCUUGGAGAUUGUAAUAGUUAAAUUUCUGCACUUUAUCGCAGUUAUAUUUGAGAACUCUUAUUUCUCGUCUCAAAUGCUUUUGAAUGUGUUAAAUGAAUCGGUUAUGCCAUUGGUAGUUGGUAAGAUAUGGUUCCC
rnacentral:lncRNA from 1 species